CUACGGGUCGCUGCAGUGGGGAAUAUUGGACAAUGGGCAAAGGCCUGAUCCAGCAAUUCUGUGUGGACGAAGAAGGUUUUCGGAUCGUAAAGUCCUUUCAGUUGGGAAGAAGAGGUGACGGUACCAACAGAAGAAGCAACGGCUAAUUACGUGCCAGCAGCCGCGGUAAGACGUAAGUUGCGAGCGUUAUCCGGAAUCACUGGGCAUAAAGGGCAUCUAGGCGGCAAUGUAAGUCAGAAGUGAAAAUUCAGGGCUCAACCCUGUCCUUGCUUUUGAAACUGCAUAGCUAGAGUGCAGGAGAGGAGGGCGGAACUACAAGUGUAGAGGUGAAAUUCGUAGAUAUUUGUAGGAAUGCCGAUGACGAAGGUAGCUCUCUGGACUGCAACUGACGCUGAAGUGCGAAAGCUAGGGUAGCAAACGGGAUUAGAUACCCCCGUAGUC
rnacentral:rRNA from 1 species